UACGUAGGGGGCAAGCGUUGUCCGGAAUCAUUGGGCGUAAAGCGCGUGUAGGCGGUUCGGUAAGUCUGCUGUGAAAGUCCAGGGCUCAACCCCUGGGAUGCCGGUGGAUACUGUCGGACUAGAGUACGGAAGAGGCGAGUGGAAUUCCCGGUGUAGCGGUGAAAUGCGCAGAUAUCGGGAGGAACACCAAUGCGAAGGCAGCUCGCUGGACGUCGACUGACGCUGAGAGCGAAGCGU
rnacentral:rRNA from 1 species